UGGGAUAUAGCUCAGUUGGUAGAGUGCUUGCCUAGCAUGCAUAAGGCCCUGGGUUCAAUCCCUAGUAUCACAA
rnacentral:tRNA from 1 species